AUGCAUGUCUGUACCUGCUAGUCACUGUUCAUUGGCACCAAAGAGAAAACCAUAACUGGAAAUGGAAGGAAAUCACAACAUAACAAACUUUGAUCUGAAGCAAAAGAGUAUUCUGUUGAAAAUCAGACAAAGGUGCUGUAAUUAACGGCAUUAAUAAAGAAGAGAAACUACAAUCCCAUUGCAAACUACAAUCUCAAAUUAAAAACAAUGGAGAAAUAUAAAAAUUUCAAAAACACAGAAAGACAUGUGACCAAUAGAAGAUUGAGAGGUCACACUGUGACCUCUUAGCUAAAUUAAAAGAAUGUAACAUUGAAAUCUGCUGGUUUGCAGUACAGUUGAAAAGAAUGAAUACAUAUUUUUACAUUUUGGACGUAGUAAAUGU